GCCGGGAUGGUGGAAUUGGUAGACACGCUAGAUUUAGGAUCUAGUGCCCUUUGGGCGUGCAGGUUCGACCCCUGUUCCCGGUA
rnacentral:tRNA from 3 species